rnacentral:tRNA from 1 species
GUCCCUAUAGCUCAACGGAUAGAGCACCUCUCUUCUAAAGAGGAAAUGAAGGUUCGAUUCCUUCUAGGGACG